AGAAAUAGGGAGCCCAGAUUAUAAUAUGCGUAACAAUUGCUUUUAUGUUCUUGAUUCUAGUAAGGGAACAGCUGAAGGAGCUCACCAAGCAGUAUGAGAAAUCUGAAAAUGACCUUAAGGCUCUGCAAAGUGUUGGGCAGAUUGUUGGUGAGGUCCUUAAACAGUUAACGGAAGAGAAAUUCAUCGUCAAAGCAACCAAUGGACCAAGAUACGUCGUCGGCUGCCGUCGUCAGGUGAGCGCCUGUCUUCGAAUGGUUGUGUCUUGGUCCCGAGUCAGAGAAAGCCGAC